GGCAACUUGGCCGAGCGGUCUAAGGCGCCAGACUCAAGAUAACGGCGCUCCAACGCCUACGUCUUCCCUGUUGAUCAGGGAGCAUUCUGGUCUCGAAAGAGGCGUGAGUUCGAAUCUCACAGUUGUCA
rnacentral:tRNA from 2 species